AAGGCGAUUUGGGAGGGGCCUGCGGUCGAUUAGCUGGUUGGUGGGGUAAAGGCCUCUCCAAGCCGAUGAUCGAUAGCUGUUCUGAGAGGAAGUCCAUCCACGCGGGAGCUGAGACACGGUUCCGACUCCUACGGGGGGCAGCAGUGAGGAAUAUUGCGCAAUGGGGGGACCCCUAACGCAGCAACUCCGCGUGGAGGACGAAGGUUUUCGGAUUGUAAACUCCUUAGCUGGGGGAAGAGAGAGGACGGUACUCCAGGACGAAGACACGGCUAAUUAGGUGCCAGCACCCGCGGUAAUACCUAGGUGUCGAGCGUUAUCCGGAAUUACUGGGCGUAAAGGGUGCGCAGGCGGCGAUACAAGUCUGGCGUGAAAGCUUCUGGCUUAACUGGGAGAGGACGUUGGAAACUGUAUGGCUAGAGUGAAUGAGAGGGGCCGGAAAUCCCGGUGUAGUGGUGGAAUGCGUAGAUAUCGGGAAGAACACCAGAGGCGAAGGCGGCCUCCUGGCAUUUUACUGACGCUGAGGCACGAAAGCGUGGGUAGCGAACGGGAUUAGAUACCCUGGUAGUC
rnacentral:rRNA from 1 species